UUCAUUCAGAGCUCCGUUGCUCAGACCAUCACACCUCUCUGUCCUCUCUCUGCUUUCUUCAUCUCCAGGUCUCCCAUCUGUCCCUGUCUCUACCAUCCUCAUCCUCACUCUGUCUUUCUUUGUCUCUCCAUGGGAGUCAUGUCCUCCCCCAGGUUCCUGUCACUUCAUCUGCUUGGAGCCUUGCUGCUGCUGCUGCUGCCUGGUUCUUGGGCUCAGCAUUAUGAUGAUUUCACAUCAUCUCCAGAUUACGACUCUGACUACAACUCCACCUUUGAAUACAGCUUCUUCAGUAAUACGAGCAGCGAGGACCUGGACAGACUUGUGGAACGCUUCCUUGAUCCUGACGAAACUACGGAGGGCACUGGAGGACCAGAGGAGGAAGUGACUGUAACCAUGGUGAAUACAAGAAGAACAACCGAGGGGGUCAACGCUCGUAGCACUGCACCAUUUCCUGUAUGUUUGGAAAUCAGGACACUGCUCUGGACUCUGAUGAUCCUGUUGGUCCUGCAGCAGCUGCAACACAUACUCUGGUGAUAGGUGUCGAAUCAAGCCCCUCAGCUCCGUCCUCACUGAACAUGGCUGCUCAUGAGCACUGCAUUGGAGUAGGUGGACCAAUCACAGAGCUUGUUUCUGAACUCUUGAACCCAAAUGAACUUUCUCACCUUUGUGUGGAAUCAUUUCAGAGAGAGAAAGUUUGCAGACACACACCUGGAAGAUUUCACUACAUGGUGACAUUUUUAUUAUGUGUAAAGAUGUUUUUUUAAUGGAACUGCUGAUUAAGCCAUACUUUAGAAAUGGUGUUUAUAUUUGUAAUAAAAAGACGUUUUUAAAGAAAAUAUGAAGUUAUUUUGUGUCCUUAUUGUGCAAACAAACAACAUAAGUGUUUGUAGUUGAGUGCAAACAAUCACUGUGUUACAGAAUAAACAUGGGGUCAGCGGGGGCCUGGAGCAUAUCCCUGCUUUCAUUUUUCCUCCAAAUCAUAAAUGUUGUUGGCUGAACUGUGAAACGUCAGCUGAAAGAUUUCUAUUACAACAGAACCAUCACUGUGCAAAUGUUUGCAUGUGUUCAUAUUCAGGAUCCAGCCAGUGGAUUUGGUUUAAUCACAGAUUUAUUUUAUUUGUGAUACAUUUUUGAUUGUGCUGUUUAUAGUUUUUCUCUAAAUCCUGUUUGUUUGCAUAAAAAAGACACAAAAGUGACAGAAUAAAAACACAAUUGUAUGAAUGAACAUUUUUGCAGAUACAUUUAUAUAUAAACAUAUUAAAGACAAAGUAUUUAAAGUGGACCCCAGCAUCCUCCAUGGUUACGAUCAUCGGUUUGUCAGCCACGUGUUUGAUUGUUUAUUUGGAUGUUUGAUCUUCCUGUUGAAAAAAACUAAACUGCAGUCCCGUCAAAAACAUGCAGG
ensembl:lncRNA